rnacentral:lncRNA from 1 species
CUUCCAGUCAUCUGUCAACAAGUGAUUGAUUGAUGUGGACAUCUUCCAAUCUUAUUCUGAUUAUUCUCAGCAGCUUGCCUGGUGGCCAUUUUUCAGGAGCUGGCAGCGUUCAGACCUCCAGUGACUGUGUUGGGAUUAACUCUUUCCUUUGUUAUGGGGGACGGCAGCAGCACACGAGGAGAUGAUUGUGCUUAUGAGCCCUGAUUACAGAAGUGGAGUGAAUACACUGAGAGAGUCCCAGAGAUAAUACUAGGAACCCGAUGAUUGUGAUUCAUCCCAGCCUCAAGCAGUCGUGCUCCCAGACAACACCCCCAAGCAGCAGCACCCGAGCCUCGUUGCUGAACGUCUCGUCGACUCCAAGGAGCAUAGCACUGUUCAUGGCUGUGGGGCAACCCGCUCAGAGAUACUGUAUCGGGCCGGGUCAUUGGCAGCUGUUCUGACCUAUACAUAAGUGAGAGUGGGAUUCCCAGGCACUGGGUGGAUAUGUCAGGCUCCCAGCAAGAGGAGCAGUGGGCAGAGAUCUCAGCCAUUCUUUACUGAGCUGCAGAGGCACUGUGUGCAUGCUGGUGGGGAGGGAUGGGCCAUAUCUAUAUGGAUUUGUACGGUAUGAAUUGGGGAGCUGUAUCCAUUUAUGGGGCGUUAAUCUGACAUACAGAAUUGCCAG